CUGUUGAAUCUAAUCCUGUUUGCUCCCCACGCUUUCGAUAUGAGCGUCAGGUUGAUCCCGGAGCUGCCUUCGCCGUCGGUGUUCUCCCGCAUAUCUACGCAUUUCACUGCUACACGCGGAAUUCCACCUCCCUCUGACACUCUAGCUCGGUAGUUAAAAAUGCAGUUCCAAAGUUAAGCUCUGGGGUUCACAUCUUUCUUUCCAAUUGUGCUGCGCACGCUUCCGCCCAGUAAUUCGAUUAACGCUUGCAUUAUUGGUAAUAUUUCGCAGCUGCUGGCACGUGAUUAGCCGGUGCUUAUUCUGCGAGUACCGUCAGUUGCACGAGGGUAUUAUCCGGCCGUGCGCCGUUCUUCUCAUUAAAAGUGCUUUGUGACGAAGGCCUUCAUCGCACACGCGGGAUGGCUGGAUCAGGGUUUCCCCAUUGUCCAAAAUUCCCCACUGCUGCCUCCCGGU
rnacentral:misc_RNA from 1 species